rnacentral:rRNA from 1 species
UUAGAGUUUGAUCCUGGCUCAGGAUGAACGCUAGCGACAGGCUUAACACAUGCAAGUCGAGGGGCAGCGGGGCGGCAGGCUUGCCUGCCGUUGCCGGCGACCGGCGCACGGGUGAGUAACACGUAUGCAACCUGCCCGUGGCAGGGGGAUAAGCGGGGGAAACCCCGUCUAAUACCGCGUAACGCGGCCUUGGGGCAUCCCCGGGCCGCCAAAGGGAGCAAUCCCGGCCACGGAUGGGCAUGCGGCGCAUUAGCUAGUCGGCGGGGUAACGGCCCACCGAGGCGACGAUGCGUAGGGGUUCUGAGAGGAAGGCCCCCCACACUGGUACUGAGACACGGACCAGACUCCUACGGGAGGCAGCAGUGAGGAAUAUUGGUCAAUGGGCGCGAGCCUGAACCAGCCAAGUCGCGUGAGGGAAGACGGCCCUACGGGUUGUAAACCUCUUUUGCCGGGGAGCAACGGGCGCCACGUGUGGCGCCACUGAGAGUACCCGGAGAAAAAGCAUCGGCUAACUCCGUGCCAGCAGCCGCGGUAAUACGGAGGAUGCGAGCGUUAUCCGGAUUUAUUGGGUUUAAAGGGUGCGUAGGCGGAGCGUUAAGUCAGUGGUCAAAUUGAGGGGCUCAACCCCUUCCCGCCAUUGAAACUGGCGCUCUUGAGUGGAAGAGAAGUAUGCGGAAUGCGUGGUGUAGCGGUGAAAUGCAUAGAUAUCACGCAGAACCCCGAUUGCGAAGGCAGCAUGCCGGCUUCCUACUGACGCUGAAGCACGAAAGCGUGGGGAUCGAACAGGAUUAGAUACCCUGGUAGUCCACGCGGUAAACGAUGAGCGCUAGGUGUCCGGGGGGAAUGGCCCCUGGGUGCCACAGCGAAAGAGUUAAGCGCUCCACCUGGGGAGUACGCCGGCAACGGUGAAACUCAAAGGAAUUGACGGGGGCCCGCACAAGCGGUGGAGUAUGUGGUUUAAUUUGAAGCAACGCGAAGAACCUUACCAGGCCUUGACAUAGGGUGCGAAGCUAUGGAGACAUAGUGGAGGUAAACAUCCAUACAGGUGGUGCAUGGUUGUCGUCAGCUCGUGUCGUGAGAUGUUCAGUUAAGUCUGGCAACGAGCGCAACCCUCGUGAUGUGUUACCAAUAUCGAGUUAGGGACUCACAUCAGACUGCCGGUGAGAAACCGGAGGAAGGCGGGGAGGACGUCAAAUCAUCAUGCCCCUUAUGGCCUGGGUACACACGUACUACAAUGGCGGCGACAGGGGGCAGCGAGCCUGCGAAGGCAAGCGAAUCCCCAAAAAGCCGUCCCAGUUCGGAUUGGAGUGUGCAACCCGACUCCACGAAGUUGGAAUCGCUAGUAAUCGCGGAUCAGCAUGCCGCGGUGAAUACGUUCUCGGGCCUUGUACACACCGCCCGUCAAG